GAUGAACGCUGGCGGCGUGCCUAAUACAUGCAAGUCGAACGAAACUUCUUUAUCACUGAGUGCUUGCACUCACCGAUAAAGAGUUGAGUGGCGAACGGGUGAGUAACACGUGGGCAACCUGCCCAAAAGAGGGGGAUAACACUUGGAAACAGGUGCUAAUACCGCAUAACCAUAGUUACCGCAUGGUAACUAUGUAAAAGGUGGCUAUACUACCGCUUUUGGAUGGGCCCGCGGCGCAUUAGCUAGUUGGUAGGGUAAAGGCUUACCAAGGCAAUGAUGCGUAGCCGAAUUGAGAGGUUGAUCGGCCACAUUGGGACUGAGACACGGCCCAAACUCCUACGGGAGGCAGCAGUAGGGAAUCUUCCGCAAAGGGCGAAAGCCUGAUGGAGCAACGCCGCGUGGGUGAAGAAGGUCUUCGGAUCGUAAAACCCUGUUGUUAGAGAAGAAAGUGCGUGAGAGUAACUGUUCACGUUUCGACGGUAUCUAACCAGAAAGCCACGGCUAACUACGUG
rnacentral:rRNA from 1 species